GACGGGGGAUGCAAGCGUUAUCCGGAAUCACUGGGCGUAAAGCUUCUUUAGGUGGUGAUGCAAGUCACUGGUGCAAAACUCUGGCUCAAUCGGAGGAAAGCCAGUGAAACUGCAUGACUAGAGUGUGGGAGAGGUAGAAGGAAUUCCCUGAGUAGCGGUGAAAUGCGUAGAUACAGGGAAGAACACCGGAGGCGAAAGCGUUCUACGGGAACACAAAUGACAUUGAGAGACGAAAGCUAGGGGAGCGAAUGGG
rnacentral:rRNA from 1 species